ensembl:lncRNA
GUCCAUCCUAAAGGAGAUCAGUCCUGGUUUGUAGGAGACAGGAAGAAUAAAAGAAAAGCAGGCCUUGGCAAGGGCCGCAAAAGAAAUUUAUAAUUAUUGAUAAACUGGAUGCUAUAAGGCAUGAAACUCUUGGAACAAGUCCAGAGGGAACAGUUCAUAGUCUCGAAAACAGGAUAUGAUCCUGGGGUCGGAAGACGGACCCCAGACUAUUUCUCAACUGGUGUCUCAGAGUCAUAUGUUUUACAUAUCUGGUGGAAAAUCUAUAGAUAAGAAUAUUAGUCUUAGUUACUGAUGUGUUAUUGAUUGCUAUUUCCUAAUUACUCAAUGGUUAAUGAUUGUUUUGUUCUUUGGCCCUGAAGGCCACAUGAGUUAUAGUUUAACUCCCCACUUACUCUUUCAUUCCUGGCUGAAAGUAUACUAAAGCCGGCUUGGAUUCAGUUUCGGCUCCUUCAGCUUGGAGCGGCGUUGGUCCCCUGAUCCUCGCUUUUCUCUGAAUUCUUGUGUCUCAUUUCUCAUUCUCUUGCUGUAUCGUGCUUUCGGAAACCCUGCUUGUCAAGCUGGACUCGACACUGGUUGUUCAUUGGAAGGACUGAUGUUGAAGCUGAAACUCCAAUACUUUGGCCACCUGACGCGAAGAGCUGACUCAUUUGAAAAGACCCUGAUGCUGGGAAAGAUUGAAGGCAGGAGGAGAAGGGGACGACAGAGGAUGAGAUGGUUGGAUGGUAUCACCGACUCGAUGGACAUGGGUUUGGGUAGACUCCGGGAGUUGGUGAUGGACAGCGAGGCCUGGCGUGCUACGGUUCAUGGGGUCGCAAAGAGUCGGACACAACUGAGCAACUGAACUGAACUGAACAGUUUCAGGCAUCCAAUGGAGUCUUGGAAAGUAUCUUCUGCAGAUACAGGGGCAGGGUGGGGGAUGGCUACUGUAUUACACAUAAAACUGUUAAGAACGUUUAGAGACAAGUCUUUGUAUGAAUGUCAGUUUUUAUUUCUUUUGUGGAGGGACAGGAUUACUGGGUCCCAUGGUCGGUGUAUAUUUAACUUCUUAAGAAACUGUCAAAUUUCCAAAGCGGCUGAACCCAUUUUUGCAUCCCUACUGGCAAUUCCUAUUACUGUUUCAGUGGUUUAAAUGCUCACCAAUACUUGGUAUCGCCAGUUGUCAGGAUAUACAUAUACAGGAUAUAUGUCAGGAUAUUAUACUUUCAGCAUAUAGAUCUUGUACAUAUUUUGUUAGACUUUUAUCUGUUUCACGUUUUGGGGUGCUAUUAUAAAUGCUGCUGUCUCAAAAAUUUUCCAGUUGUUCACUGCACAGAAAUAAAACUAAUUUCCAUAUGUGAACUGUGUAUCCUUCAGCUCUGCUAAACUCAGCUGUUAGGUCUUUUUUGAAGAGUCCUUAGGGUUUUCCUAUCUAGUUGAACUUGUCCUUGGUGAAAAAAGACAGUUUUACCCUUUCUUUCCCAAUCUAAAGAUUCUGCUUUCUCUUGCCUAAUUGCACUGUCCGGGACCUCGUAAGAGAUGGUGGGUGAAGAACAGUGACGAGCACAUUGCCAAUUUCCUAGUUUGAUCACGGAGCUGUGGUUGUGUAACAGCAUGAAGGGAACACAGCAACACUAAUUCUAGUUUGGCAACUUCUUUGUGGCUUAAAAUGAUUUCAAAACAGAAAGUUAAGUGGUAGGGGAAAAAAAGGUGGAGAAUGCCGAUUCUUGCUUUGUUCCCAGCCUUCAAAGCAAAGUUUUUUUACCAUGUAGUAUUAUGUUAGCUAAAGGUUUUUUCCACAGACACCAUUUACCAGCUUAAAGAAGUUCCUUUUAUUUCUAGUUUGCAAAGAGGUUUUUUUUUCCCCCCCGCUUGUAUUUAUUAAAAAUAUUUAAAGUAUUAAGAAAAUUCAUUUUUAUUAUGACAAAUGUUCAGAAAAUAUAUCCUUAGUGUUUAACAAAUCCUCUUUUUUUGGCCCUGCACCGUGCUGGAUCUUAGUUCUGAAGCCAGGGACUGAACCCACGUCCCUGAAGUAGAAGCCUGGAGUCAGCCACUGGACCACCAGGGAAGUCUCCGUUUGCUUUUAAAUCAUGAAUGAGUACUGGAUUCCAUCCGGUUUUUUUUUCCUCUAUCUUUUGAGAUUAUCACACGGUUUUACCUUCUUCAUCUGUUAAAUAUGGUGGAUUACGUGGAUUUUAGAAUAUUAAACCAACCCUGCAUUCCUGGAGUAAAUCACAGUCUGUCGUGAAGUAUUGUCCAUUUUACAGGACAUUGUAUUCAACUGGCUAAAUUUCUGUCAAGGAUUUUUGCUUCUACGUUCACGAGGGUUUGUAUUUUUCUUCUAUUUGUCUGGUUUUGGUAUCAGGGCAGUGAUGCCCUCACAGAAUGAAUUGAGGGUGUUCCCAGUUCCCAAAAUUAUGGAAGAUUUUGUGUUGGCUCCUUACAACUUCUUCCUUAAAUGUCUUAGACACAAUUUACCAAUAAAGUCAUUUGGCCUCGGAAUUUUCUUUGUGUGAAGGUAUUUUAUUUUUGCUUUACCCAAAUCUAUUAAUGGUUUUAUUAAGGUAUAAUUUACCAAUUUGAAGUGCACAAGUAAGUAAAGUUGCUCAGUCGUGUCCGACUCUUUGCAACCCCAUGGACUGUAGCCCACCAGACUCCUCCAACCAUGGGAUUCUCCAGACAAGAAUACUGGAGUGGGUUGCCAUUUCCUUCUCCAGG